CUGGAGCUCACUGAUUGGGCUAGGUUGGCUGGAGCUCACUGAUUGGGCUAGGUUGGCUGGAGCUCACUGAUUGGGCUAGGUUGGCUGGAGCUCACUGAUUGGGCUAGGUUGGCUGGAGCUCACUGAUUGGGCUAGGUUGGCUGGAGCUCACUGAUUGGGCUAGGUUGGCUGGAGCUCACUGAUUGGGCUAGGUUGGCUGGAGCUCACUGAUUGGGCUAGGUUGGCUGGAGCUCACUGAUUGGGCUAGGUUGGCUGGAGCUCACUGAUUGGGCUAGGUUAGCUGGCCAACAAACCCCAGGUUUUUCAUCUGUGCCUCCUCCCCUCACUG